rnacentral:rRNA from 1 species
AUAUGGCAGAGAUGUCAUAGCCGCAAGGUCUGUAUACAGGUGGUGCAUGGUUGUCGUCAGCUCGUGUCGUGAGAUGUUGGGUUAAGUCCCGCAACGAGCGCAACCCUCGUUCUGUGUUGCCAGCAUUUAGUUGGGGACUCACAGGAGACUGCCGGGGUUAACUCGGAGGAAGGUGGGGAUGACGUCAAAUCAUCAUGCCCCUUAUGUCUUGGGCUGCACGCAUGCUACAAUGGCUGGUACAAACGGCUGCAAUACCGCAAGGUGGAGCGAAUCCGAGAAAGCCAGUCUCAGUUCGGAUUGGGGUCUGCAACUCGACCCCAUGAAGUCGGAGUUGCUAGUAAUCGUAGAUCAGCAACGCUACGGUGAAUACGUUCCCGGGGCUUGUACACACCGCCCGUCACGUCACGAAAGUCGGUAACACCCAAAGUCAGUGCCCAACCGUAAGGAGGGAGCUGCCAAAGGUGGGAU